rnacentral:rRNA from 1 species
AGCGAACGCUGGCGGCAGGCCUAACACAUGCAAGUCGAACGGAUCCUUCGGGAUUAGUGGCGGACGGGUGAGUAACACGUGGGAACGUGCCCUUUGGUUCGGAACAACUCAGGGAAACUUGAGCUAAUACCGGAUGUGCCCUUCGGAGGAAAGAUUUAUCGCCAUUGGAGCGGCCCGCGUCUGAUUAGCUAGUUGGUGAGGUAAAGGCUCACCAAGGCGACGAUCAGUAGCUGGUCUGAGAGGAUGAUCAGCCACAUUGGGACUGAGACACGGCCCAAACUCCUACGGGAGGCAGCAGUGGGGAAUCUUGCGCAAUGGGCGAAAGCCUGACGCAGCCAUGCCGCGUGAAUGAUGAAGGUCUUAGGAUUGUAAAAUUCUUUCACCGGGGACGAUAAUGACGGUACCCGGAGAAGAAGCCCCGGCUAACUUCGUUACAGCAGCCGCGGUAA